AAAGUAUUCUACCGUCCCUCCUUUUUUCUCUCUCUCCCCACGAUGGAAAGUAUUCCAUCCGUCCAUCUCUCUCUCCCCAUGGAAAACCAAAUAUCUAGCCCACGGUCCCUUCCUCUCCACUCUUUCCUCUCACGAAUCUCUCUACCCUAGAAACCAAACUAAUGCAAAGCAAGCGCGGCCAUGGAUCUGAACAACAAGCGGGGCCAUAAAUCUGGCGUGGUCAAGAGGCUUACUGCCUCAAAUUUGCUUUCCUGAUCUAGAUCAGGUUGUUCUCAGAUUCCUCCUAAUCACGAUUUGGAUCAAACCCUCAAUCUUUUAAAGUACAAUUUCUGGAUGCCUUACGGAGAUCGGAUCGGAGCACAACUAUGACCAUCAGGUUUCCCCGGCCACAUAUCUCCGUCGCACAAGAGAUGUUGGAGAAGCGGGAGUAACCCAUCGCCUGUAGCUCAGUACGCGUGGCAUUCAAGAAGCUGCUUCGAUCGCAGACUACAUGAUCAGAUCCAUGUCGUAGCAUAUAUAUACACCAUGUACGUCAUGGAUGCAUGCAUAAAAGCGAGCUAGGAUGUCAGACAGAUGGGGUGAAACAUAAAUUGAUUUGCAAACAGGGGAAAGAGAGACCAAAGUAAAGAUUUCACAGCUCCUAUGGAGAUGAGAUUCUCAUUCGGAUGGAGCUCUACAAACAGCUGGUACAUGACAAUGUUUGUGUGCUGGAAUGAGAAACUGACACACUGCCAAAGGUACGGUCUCUGAUGUUAUAGAAGCUAUGAUUUGUGAUGCUAAUCUUGCAUGUUCAGAACUGCUACGAUCGAAUUUGCUCAAAUUAUUCUUUGGUGUAUUAAUAACAUGCCCUUUUGUAGUUUGUAUUUGCUGACAUAUAUAAAUUUUCAUUUCGGGCAUUCGUUACAAUACUUCAAUUAUGUGUUCUUGAGCGAGGAUUAAUACAUUAAUACUGAGGGAGCCCUCUAUCCGGUGAUUUUGUCGUAGACCUCUGCUUUAAUACUUCUUAAUAUGGUGAUGAAAUUCCGAAGAACAAUUCUUAUGCGUAUGGUAUCACCUGAUCGAUCUAUCUGGUAAUAGUCGCGGGUUGGCUGGCCAGCGUUGACACCAACCAGAGGAUGCAUUGGCGCACAAUGUUCUUAUUGCUACACUUCAUGAGUGCAGUAAUGUGGUUAGGUCUAUCAGAGAAGUGCCCAGUUCAUGCCGAUGAGCGAUGAUUGUCAAUGGAGCUUACAUGUGGUUGCGGAAGCAUAAAAAGCAUGGUGAUAAGAAAGGAUUGAUCAGCGUAAGUUUGUACUGUCUGGCACGUUUGUGCAAGAAGCAAGUAAUUGCUACAGUACCAUUUAGGUUGCUCUGGGAGGACUUCUUCGCGCUACAAGGAUUAAAGCACCUUUGAUUCAUGAGGACGCACCAAACGAGGCUGGCUAGACUAAGCUUGCUACUAGAUCUACCGGACAGAAGAACAGAACACAUGCCCGCGAUUGCCCAAGUCCGGAAGGGACAAGGCCGCUAAGUAAUACUCCUUCCAUCCCAAAAUAAGUGACUCAACUUUGUACCAGCUUUAGUAUAAAGUUAGUACAAAGUUGAGUCACUUAUUUUGAGACGGAGGGAGUAUAUAUCCCAGUUAGCAUCAACAAUUAAUUUCCUGUGCUUCCUGAUGUUAUUUAGUAACUGGACUUAGGAAUGUGAGAAACGUCAUUGUGUGAUAUGACUUGCUGGAGCAAGAUUAAAUUGCUGGACCAAGGUCUACAUCUAUAUUCCC
rnacentral:rRNA from 1 species